rnacentral:rRNA from 1 species
AGAGUUUGAUCCUGGCUCAGGAUGAACGCUGGCGGCGUGCCUAAUACAUGCAAGUCGAGCGAACCGAUUAAGAGCUUGCUCUUAUGAAGUUAGCGGCGGACGGGUGAGUAACACGUGGGUAACCUGCCCAUAAGACUGGGAUAACUCCGGGAAACCGGGGCUAAUACCGGAUAACAUUUUGCACCGCAUGGUGCGAAAUUGAAAGGCGGCUUCGGCUGUCACUUAUGGAUGGACCCGCGUCGCAUUAGCUAGUUGGUGAGGUAACGGCUCACCAAGGCAACGAUGCGUAGCCGACCUGAGAGGGUGAUCGGCCACACUGGGACUGAGACACGGCCCAGACUCCUACGGGAGGCAGCAGUAGGGAAUCUUCCGCAAUGGACGAAAGUCUGACGGAGCAACGCCGCGUGAGUGAUGAAGGCUUUCGGGUCGUAAAACUCUGUUGUUAGGGAAGAACAAGUGCUAGUUGAAUAAGCUGGCACCUUGACGGUACCUAACCAGAAAGCCACGGCUAACUACGUGCCAGCAGCCGCGGUAAUACGUAGGUGGCAAGCGUUAUCCGGAAUUAUUGGGCGUAAAGCGCGCGCAGGUGGUUUCUUAAGUCUGAUGUGAAAGCCCACGGCUCAACCGUGGAGGGUCAUUGGAAACUGGGAGACUUGAGUGCAGAAGAGGAAAGUGGAAUUCCAUGUGUAGCGGUGAAAUGCGUAGAGAUA